AUCCACCUGCCAUACCCCAGAUGCACCCAGGACCGUUCUAGUCUCUGGCCUACCUGAGUCUCAGAAGCUCUCAGACUCCAUCCAUCUAAAUCCUAACCAUGGAAUAGACCCAGCACAGGUGUGGCUCACUCAGCAAGCCUUCCUGUUGACACUAAGUGAAUACUUUGAAAGGCGGCCCUGCUUCUCUCCCAAGGACUAGAGAACUGCUUCCUUAUUUUACUCUGGGUUUUCAUCACUGUACAAACUGUUUUUUUGGAGCCCUUGCCUGGUGAGAGGAGCACACCGUCCAGAAAUAGUGACAGAACCUGCCCAGCUGGAAGAAGAAUGUCGG